GGUCGAUUGGCCCAGUGGUUAAGGCAUUCGCUUUACAAACCUCCUCCUCGGAUGAGAAAAGAUCGCGAAGGAUCGCAGGUUCGAUCCCUGCAUCGAUCA